GACAGAGGAGCCAAGCGUUGUCCGGAUUUACUGGGCGUAAAGAGCGCGCAGGCGGUCGGCCAAGUCGAGUGUGAAAGCCCCCGGCUCAACUGGGGAGGGUCAUUCGAUACUGGUCGACUCGAAGGCAGGAGAGGGAAGCGGAAUUCCCGGUGUAGUGGUGAAAUGCGUAGAUAUCGGGAGGAACACCAGUGGCGAAGGCGGCUUCCUGGCCUGUUCUUGACGCUGAGGCGCGAAAGCUAGGGGAGCAAACGGG
rnacentral:rRNA from 1 species